rnacentral:lncRNA from 1 species
GGAGGGAGAACUCUGACCACUCCACUCCCAUAUUGCACUCCGAGAAAGCUGAGGCCCACAUGGGCCCAAGGAAAGGACUCAUUUUUUCCACAUGCCCUGGCACAUGAGGACCCAGAAGCUACAGGAAAGGUGCCUGAGGAAGCGGCAGGCUGGGUGGGGACCCCCAUGGAACUGGAUCGAAGACUGGAGGCUGUGUGACCAGAACCUGCUCAAGGAAGAUGUCAGGAGCAUCUCUGAGUUAGCCUCCAGGGCAACAAAUUAUACUCAGCCCACCUACUCAGGACACACUGACCUGGCUGGUGCGGAGAAGUUCUGCCCCUUGCCCCUGCACCCAAGGAUGGAUAUAAAGACAGUGCAUUGCUGGUGCAUCUUCGAUAGGAUUUGACAACUGGGUCCCGUCUGAGGACUGAGCUGUGGUGUGAU